GGUCUAGCCCUUUCCAGCAAGGCCACCUGCAUCAGUGACAUUAAGAGGUUGCAUUUCUGCUCAUCUAGAAUUGCAAGGAGCAUGCAUGGUAAUAAAUGCUGAAAUGGUCUGGGGAGAGAGCUGAUAGCAGGAAAGCAGUGUCACCUCUGCCUGGGCACGAGGAUGUGAGACAGGUAAGAUGCCAAAUUCCCCGCUUGCAGCUCUGUGACGGAGGGUUUGAGGUCUACGCUCUGGGGACAGGCUCUCUCAGUGUUCUUUGGAGCAGAGGUUUGCGUGGUCUCAGGUUGCCCUCUGAAUUCUUCACCUCUACAUGAAGUGAAGAAUCUGUUGGCAGGUUUUGCAAUCCUUCUGCACAGGAGGACAACAGGACACAGGAAGCAACUUGAGCCGAGACACUUCGUACAGUGCUUUACAUUUUGACUUCACGAUCAUACUAUUUAUCACAGCUCCAUGAUGAAGCCAAUAAAGGUUAAUUUAUGGUGCAAUAAGUAUUGCAGAUACACACUGUGGACUGUGGUCAUGAACUGAUGGAUGGGCAUGGCUGGGUGGUUUUCAAUCCUGGGCCAAGGCAUUCCUGUAGAGGUCUAUUAUAUAUACGUGUUAUCAAUUCAGUGAGGUUUUCAGUUGGUCUGUGGCAGCUCUGAUCUCUGGGUGGCUGAUUCUGCUCUCUAAUUUGACUUGCACUGGUGUAGAUCUGGAACGACUGGCUUGGUUUCCUGACGGUGCAAGUUUUGGAAGUGUCAUUGAAGUCGAUGACAGCUCCGUGGAGAGGGUAAAUUCAUGUAGCUGAUUGACUCGAGAGGACUUACGCUGCUUUAGCCAUCUGAAAAUCUGGUUUAGUGAGACUGCUUUGUGUUAGUGCUGGCGUGCCGAGGCCAGAAUCUGGCCAGGUCAGAAAUUGGAGCAUGUGGAGGGUGCUAAAGGAGGGAUGAUCUUUAUUUUGUGGGUCCAUACUUUGAAGCCGAGGGGUUUUGUUUGGUUUUGUUCGUUUGUUGUUUUUUAACUGUCAUCUGAGGGGUUUUGUUUGUUUGUUUGCUUUGUUUUUACUGUCAUUUUUGCAAAUCAAUAAGUUCCUGGCUUGAAGAUGGGCUGUAUGUAUAUGACCAUGUAAAUACAUAUUAUAUGACCAUAUAUAUAUUAUAUGACUAUAUAUUUUAUAUGAUCAUAAAUGUGUCAUUACUUGAUUCACAUGUAUUAAUUCAGUGGAUAGAAGUGAAUUUAAAGAACUUUAUUUGAAAGAGUGCAGUAAUUUAUUAGACA